rnacentral:rRNA from 1 species
UACGGGGGGGGUAAGCGUUGUUCGGAAUUACUGGGCGUAAAGGGCUCGUAGGCGGCCAACUAAGUCAGACGUGAAAUCCCUCAGCUUAACUGGGGAACUGCCUUCGAUACUGGCGACCUUGAGUCCGGGAGAGGUGAGUGGAACUCCGAGUGUAGAGGUGAAAUUCGUAGAUAUUCGGAAGAACACCAGUGGCGAAGGCGACUUACUGGACACAUAUUGACGCUGAGGUGCGAAAGCGUGGGGAGCAAACAGG